UGCAAGAUUAUAAUUCCCAACUCAAGGAAUUGACUCAGCAGUAUAGCCAGAAAAAUCAGCAGCAUCAGCAGAUUUUGCAUUCAAUUUCACAGCUAAGUGGAGGCCAUUCUCAACAACCAGCACAGCAGAUGAGACCUCUCUUACAAGACCUUGGAAAUCAACAAGUUUCAUUUGCAAAUUUGAUUGAUGGUGAUAUUUGUUCUGAACGAGUUAUGCAGUAUCUAUAUCACCUGCGGAACCGACCAAAUGUCAGUUACUUUCUCUUGACAAAAAGUUGUGCUUUAUCUUCCAUUUUAAAUUUCAAUUUAUAUUAGGCACUUGUCAGCAACAUGUCUUUUUUUUUUAACUAGCACAAGCUGCAGGUUCUACAGAUCUGUCCAAGUUGAAAUUGCAAACUUGUCAAGUUUCGCAUGCUGUAAAAAUUAAACAGGAGCCUGAUAUUAUUACUCAAAUGCUGAAAAAACCAAGAUUUGAUGUCAACCAAGAGGACAUCGAGCAGCAGCAAAUUAUUAAACAAUUCUUGUUGAGGCAGCAACUCAUGCAGGUGCAAGAUUAUAAUUCCCAACUCAAGGAAUUGACUCAGCAGUAUAGCCAGAAAAAUCAGCAGCAUCAGCAGAUUUUGCAUUCAAUUUCACAGCUAAGUGGAGGCCAUUCUCAACAACCAGCACAGCAGAUGAGACCUCUCUUACAAGACCUUGGAAAUCAACAAGUUUCAUUUGCAAAUUUGAUUGAUGGUGAUAUUUGUUCUGAACGAGUUAUGCAGUAUCUAUAUCACCUGCGGAACCGACC
rnacentral:lncRNA from 1 species